UACGUAGGGUGCGAGCGUUGUCCGGAAUUAUUGGGCGUAAAGCGCGCGUAGGCGGCUUGGCAAGUCGGAUGUGAAAUCCCUCGGCUCAACCAAGGAAGUGCAUCCGAAACUGCUGAGCUUGAGUACUUAAGAGGAUCGCGGAAUUCCCGGUGUAGAGGUGAAAUUCGUAGAUAUCGGGAGGAACACCAGUGGCGAAGGCGGCGAUCUGGGAAGAUACUGACGCUGAGGUGCGAAAGCGUGGGGAGCAAUCCGG
rnacentral:rRNA from 1 species